rnacentral:lncRNA from 1 species
GAGAACGAGAUGAAGACACACCUACUCCCAGCGGCCCAGCUCUGGAAGUGACCCUCUUCACUUCUGCCCCAUUCAGAUGCAGGGGGUUUCUGUGCCCAGGAAGAAGCAAUGAGUUUGAUAUCUGCUCAGUCUCUACCAUAAACGACAGAACCAUGCAGAUCCAGGAACUUGCUGCUAAAGGCCCCUGGACAGCUGAGGCGCUGGCUGGAGGCAAAGGGAAUGAGAUCCACGAAGGAGGAAGGAAGCCGCAAAUACUGGCUACAGCGUCACGACCCAUUGCAGCCCCCUCCACAUGUCGCUUGCGGCUCUGAGUUUUGUAUAUUGGGAGGAAGUUGUCUUUGUGAAGGGCAAGGUUGUCACGGGAGGAAGAGCAUGUGACAGAAGACGAACAGCUCAACCUGUUUCUAACAACAAACACUCAGGUUUCUUUCUUUUCGCUGAUUUGCAAGAUAGAGCCUGGCAUUUCUAAACACUAAACCCUUGAAGAAUGGGGAAGAUGAGGUUCGAAUUUCCAAGAGUUUGGGAUUAGUCACGGGGUGUAUAAGCUCUUCUUGGUGUCUAUCAUCCCAAAUAGCCAUCAAGGGCUACACUGGGCGAAGAAGAAACUAGAGCUUUUGUAUUAAGGGACUAAAGGGGUAUAGGCAGGAUUCCAAGGGAUGACUGGGGGAUGGGCAAAGGACCAACGUGGAGACACCCUAGGUACCUAGACUUGAUCUGCUGGCUGCCUGAAUGUGAUCUCUGCCAGGGAGGUGCCAGGAUGUGUGGACCGAGGGCGCUCUACUGGGACCGGGAGACUGAAGCCUCACAGGUCCUCCCUGAUGGAGACUGCGCAUGGUUUCCAGUGCUUCAGCACGAGCACAGGCCAAAGACGGACAAUGAGACACUGGCAGGCUGACAGGGAGUGGCUCUCACGCCAGGACUAGAGAGCGUGUGAGGGCACCCUGCACUGGACAGCAGGGAGGGAGACGUGGGAUGUACGCGUCGUUAAUUGUGUUGCUCGCCCCAAAUGCGCACCCCUUGUCCUGU